UACGUAGGGGGCGAGCGUUGUCCGGAUUUAUUGGGCGUAAAGAGCUCGUAGGCGGCUCGGUAAGUCGGAUGUGAAAACUCGGGGCUCAACCCCGAGAUGCCAUUCGAUACUGCUGUGGCUAGAGUCCGGUAGGGGAGCGUGGAAUUCCUGGUGUAGCGGUGAAAUGCGCAGAUAUCAGGAGGAACACCAGUGGCGAAGGCGGCGCUCUGGGCCGGAACUGACGCUGAGGAGCGAAAGCGUGGGGAGCAAACAGG
rnacentral:rRNA from 1 species